UGAGAUGGAGAGUGUAGAGAUUAGAGAGAGAUUAGAGUGAGAGAGAGAUCAUCCAUUAAUUGCCAAAUAUUCUCUAAAGAUUCACAAAUCUUUUAUAAGAUUUCCAAAUCCAUUUCAUAUCUUGCAAGAAUUCCUCUCUCUCCUUCUUCCCUAAUUUUCGAGCUCUCUCUCCCUCCCUUCAUCUCUCUACUUUCCUCCAUUGUUAGCCAUUGAUGAAACCUUCGAAGCUUCACCCAAGUAUGCCAAACACAUAAAUCACUACUUAAAUCCUCCAUAAACACAUCCUAUUAACUUGAAUUCAAGAGAAUCCUUGAAGGAAGGCUUCAAGACUAGAGAGAGAAAGUUUGAGUUUUGGUGAAGAACUUGAACACGAGCAGAGCAAGGAAGUAAGUAACUCCGCUUUGACGGGAGUUUUUGAGUAAGGUCUUCAGACUAAGCGAGGAGCGAGAUUGGUCUGGUGCUGGCGGGGAAAUGUUGGAGGAUGUAUUUACUUUAUCGUAUUUCCAUUUUGACGAUAAAGUCUUGAUGAUUGAUAUACUUUAAUUUUCUUUUGAAGUUAAGCAAUGUACUCACGGUUAUAUGUCUUCAUACAUAUAAUCGGUUCGCCUUUUGCUGCGAUACUCUGCAUAUUAUGAUUCCUUACGAAAAAUGAGCAAUACCCGUUUUGUUUUUGUUCGUGAAAUUCCUGAUAAUUAAAAAGUUA